GGAUUUCAAGGAAUCAAGCAAUCAAAGGUGGCGAAUCCUCUGGCAAAGGCAAAGAAAUCGCACCCCGAUGAGUAAUAGUUAGAGUACCCGAAUUUAGUUUUCAAAAACUGCUCAAGACAGUUUGUUGAUAGUUGAGUAAGACGAGAAUUAAUCUCGGAAUUGCAUCCUAGAAAGUAAGGGUUCGUAGCCCUACACCCUCUUGGUCAGUUGAGGGCCCACGAGUCACUGUAAAAGAAAUUUUAUACUUCAGUUAUCUGAUUUAAAGUAUGUAUGAACAUAUUUAUCUUUUA